UACGAAGGGGGCUAGCGUUGCUCGGAAUCACUGGGCGUAAAGCGCACGUAGGCGGAUUGUUAAGUCAGGGGUGAAAUCCUGGAGCUCAACUCCAGAACUGCCUUUGAUACUGGCGAUCUUGAGUCCGGGAGAGGUGAGUGGAACUGCGAGUGUAGAGGUGAAAUCGUAGAUAUUCGCAAGAACACCAGUGGCGAAGGCGGCUCACUGGCCCGGAACUGACGCUGAGGUGCGAAAGCGUGGGGAGCAAACAGGG
rnacentral:rRNA from 1 species